rnacentral:tRNA from 1 species
AAUGACUUAGUUUUCACUUACAAUGAAAAUAACCCUCCUCGGGCAUUCUUUUAAAAUUGCUAAGUAUAAAUAA